CCUACGUGUGGCAGCAGUGAGGAAUAUUGGUCAAUGGGCGGACGCCUGAACCAGCCAAGUAGCGUGCAGGAUGACGGCCCUACGGGUUGUAAACUGCUUUUAUACGGGAAUAACGCGCCUUACGUGUAGGUCUUUGCAUGUACCGUAUGACUAAGGAACGGCUAAUUCCGUGCCAGCAGCCGCGGUAAUACGGAAGGUCCGGUCGUUAUCCGGAUUUAUUGGGUUUAAAGGGGGCGUAGGCCGCAUGUCAAGCGUGCCGUGAAAUUUCCGGGCUCAACCCGGGCCUUGCAGCGCGAACUGGCGUGCUUGAGUCCGCGGAAAGCAGGCGGAAUUCGUCGUGUAGCGGUGAAAUGCUUAGAUAUGACGAAGAACCCCGAUUGCGAAGGCAGCUUGCUGCAGCGGAACUGACGCUGAUGCUCGAAAGCGCGGGUAUCGAACAGGAUUAGAUACCCGGGUAGUC
rnacentral:rRNA from 1 species